rnacentral:rRNA from 1 species
UACGGGGGGGGCAAGCGUUGUUCGGAAUUACUGGGCGUAAAGGGCUCGUAGGUGGCCAACUAAGUCGGACGUGAAAUCCCUCGGCUUAACCGGGGAACUGCGUCCGAUACUGGUUGGCUUGAGUUUGGGAGAGGGAUGCGGAAUUCCAGGUGUAGCGGUGAAAUGCGUAGAUAUCUGGAGGAACACCGGUGGCGAAGGCGGCGUUCUGGACUGCUACUGACACUGAGGAACGAAAGCCAGGGGAGCAAACGGG